rnacentral:lncRNA from 1 species
GCUUUUGUCUCUCGCUGCAGCCAGAGCUUGGGAUCCCUUUCUGCUGUUCAACGUCCUCCACCUCUGCCCCCCUCUCCCCCAAGCCGGUGACAGGCUGUUGCCCUGUGAUCUGCAGGUCCUGGGACGUGCACAGCUAAGAUGCCAGGACAUUCUAGAAGGUGGGAAAGGGCGCCUGUAAUUUCAGCUACUCAGGGGGCUGAGGCAGGAGAAUCGCUUGAACUCGGGAAGCAGACGUUGCAGUGAGCCAAGGUCGCACCACUGCACUCCAGCCCAGGCAACAGUGUGAGACUCCACAUCAAAAAGAAAAAGAAAAAAAGUGUACUAACAAGACCCAGCACACAGAGGAGACUUUUACCAUUAUAUGAACACCCAUCAAACAGUACACAUCAUCAUUGUGAGUUCUGAAUCUCACACAUAGAGGAAGUCAAAGGUGGAAAAAUUGACUCUCAUAGUUGGAUCCAGUCCACAGCUUCUGCUAGCAAGGAAGACUGAGACAUAUUGUGGGGCUCUACGCCAAUGUGACAUUACUGUUUUGCCUUGGCCUGUACCUGAAAAGGCAUUGUGA